GGCAGCUUUUUGGGGGAUGGCAAAUGUUUUGUGUUGAAUGCUGUGUCAUCCACCAAAUGUCAACUUCAGGUAACGAGUCUUCACAUCUUCUCCUUCCUGUGGAACCAUAAGGCUCCAGAGGACAGGGCUUUGGUCUUACUCCUCUCUAUAUUCCCCCAGCUGCUUCCAGCACAGUGCCCUUUCCAUGGUAGGUCCUCAAAUAAUUAUAAUAACACGUGUUGAUCAAUUCUCCUCUAGCUGAAGCCUUGAAAGAGAGAGGCUCAUCAACCAGGUAGAAAUAAAAAGAAAUGCAGGUACUUCUGAAAUGCUUUAUUAGGUUCUAUAAAGGGGUUAAAAUGGUGAUUUUUCAAUCGUAUUCAAAGACAGCACAGCAUCUUUUAGAAAUCUGACUCUGGCUAGAGUAGACCUGGAAACACAUUGGAUGGAGGAAUCACAGCAAGUCACUAAGAUCAGAAUUACUGCUGGACCAUGAAAGUAAACAGGAAAAGACAAAAAAUAUUUUAAAUUAAUCCCAAAUAUACAUCUGUUAAUUGCCAUUUCAAUUCUUCAAAUAUUUGCAUAUGCAAAUGUGCCCAUUCAACACUGAAUUAUUAAAAUUGAGGCAGACAAUUGAGCUUUGCACACAGCAAAGGCAGCCUGGAAUGGAGAAAACUGACUGGAGGUUGAGGAGAGAAAACAUAGGAAACUUCCACUCUUUCUCUUUGUGAUAAGGGAACCUGGUAAUGACCCAGAGACCCUGGGAACUCUGGAAAAGGGCAGCUCUAAAUGGAGGAAGGACACCUUGCAGGGGGAGAGGAAUUAAGGAUUUGUUUGGUUUUCACAAACAUGUCUACGGUAAAUCCCCGUGUGGAGAGAAUGCUUUUUAAGCUCCUGUUAUGUCCCAGACACUGGACAGGCACACAGACCUGUGGUCUCGCAGAGGCUUCAGGUGUGAUACCCCAAAAUAUGACUGACACCUUGGAAACUGAAAAAACAGCAGAAGUAGGAAGGCGUCUCUGACCUUCUCUCAGGCUUUCCUCCCCUGAAGCAGACCAUAAAACCCAGGAUCGUCACUCUCCGACCUCUUCUGUUCCUUCUCCCCUGAAGACACUCAUGUGGCAGGUGCCCACACAGAAGAAACUGAACAAACAGGUCUUACUACAUUUCUCCCAGUUUGUUACCUUUGGAUCAGACCCUUUUGUCCUUCAAUUAUACUUCUGUAUGGCUGUCCAUAAAAAUACAGUUUUCCCUGGGUCUUUGGGGCUUUGCUUCUGAAGGCUCACAUGUCAUGUAAGAUUUACAUGAAAUGCAUUUGCAAGCUUUUUGCUUAUUACUCUUUUGUCAUAGGGUUGUUGGCCAUGAACUUUACAAUGAGUGAGGAAAGAAAUCUUUUCUCCCCUACACAGACAAUAAGCAAGAAAACAAAUAAUUCAAAAUGUCAGAGAGUAGCACACACUACAAAGAUAAAGCAGAACGAUAAUGAUUGGAGUAGAAGCAGGUCUACGUUAGAUUAAGGGGCUAGGAGUCUGUCUGAGGAGAUAUUGAGACCUGAAUGGCAAGAAGAAGCCAGCCCUGUAAGAAUAGAUGGGAAGAGAUCAAAGCAGAGGGAAUACAUGGUCAAAGGUACGGAUAGAAGGCCGACCCAGCAUGAGCGGGGGAGUAGAUGUGCUCAGAGAGGCAAGGGGAACUCAUAGGGCCCACUCGGUCAGGGUAGGAUGUUAGGGUUUUAUUCCAGAUGUGGUGUGAAGCCAUCAGAGGAGGAACAUGUUCUCAUGUGUGGUUUUAUAAAGAUCACUCCAGCUGCCAUGUGGAGGGCAAGGCUGCUGUGUAGGGGCGGAAGAGUCCCAGACCUCUUAGUGCUCUAUCUCAUCACCUACCUAAGAGAUAGUGAUGGCUUGGACCAAGAAAGGUAGCAAUGAAAAUGAAGAAAAGGAAAACAAUAAUAACAUAACAUAUAUUUUGAAAGUAAAGCCAACAUAGAAGUAAAAUAAAAAUCAGCCUCCACUAAUUGACUACUUCUAAUGCUGUACAUAUUUAUACUAUGGCAUUAAUAAUACUAAAAUAGAUUGUGCUAAUAAGGCAUAUUUCAACUGUGUGAAGAUUUACCACUGUGAGUCACAACUCCUGAUUUCCCAAAAUGGAAAUUACAGAAAGAAGCCAAAAAGACCAAUUCAGAGUGACCCAGUGUAGCAGAUGUUGGAAAUUUCCUGGCUGCUACUAUUUGAACAUUCUUCCUGUAUUUUGGGAAUUCCUCCAUAAAUAAAUCCUUGAUGGGAGGCAGACCCCUAGCCGUAGUUCCCAUUGCAAAACAAUUUUUGCCGUAGCAUGGAUCUGUCAGUUAUUCUUAGCAUGGAGCCUUUAGAGCGCCAUGUGCUCUAAUUCACAUGAUCUCGUUCCACAUUAACCAAAAAGUCUUUGAUUGUGAUUUGUCUCUACAAGGAGAUCUUUCUACAAAGAAAAGAAAAAGAAAACGACCAGCAUUUUUUUAAACCGCCUAAUAUGGCCAGCAUUGUGAUAGGAAUCUGAAAAUAUAUUGUUUCACUUAAUCCUCAAACCAUCUCUACCAAUUUGGUAUUAUUGGCUUUAUUUUACAAAUUAGAAAAAAAGAGAGAGAAUCAGAGAGUUUAAGAAAUUUACCCAAAAUCACAUUGUUACUAAGUAGCAAAAUCAAACUGCUCAAUUCAAAUCCUGGUUAAUUCCAGAGUUUUCGGUGUAGAUUUGCUUUGCGCUUUAUGGAUCUCAUAAGAAGGAAACAGUGGUCAAGAAAAUGAAAAAAUACUACAGCCAUCUAGACUGAUUUACAUGUAAAAGGGGAUAAAAUUGAGAUCAGGAAAACCAGAGGACAGGGAGAAAGAAGAGCCAGAGUGCAAAAAAUUUGGGGAGGAUUUGCAAAAUGUUAAGGGAUAAAAAGUGGGAAUUUUAGGUAACUGCCAUCUGUGAUGUGUGAAAUAUUAAAAAAGAAAUGUGAGACGGAAUUUUAAGAAAAUAUGCUAUGUAUGGGUUUCCUCUUCGGUGCAGCUUCAUGAGAUUUCAGGAAAAAUUACAUUGUUUUCAAUGCUUUGAGGGCUACCUGACUGGAGUUUCCUUUAUGAGGACAUCAUUGAGAUGAACCAUGAGGCAACCCAGCCUCUUGUAGGUUGCGUGAGUCUCUCACGGAAUUUUCUGUUUCAAGCAGAGAGGAGUAGCCCAUGUCUCUUUCAACCACACAACAGUGACUUCUGAAUAAACAAGCAACCAUAAUAUCCCUAUGGCUGCCUCUGGCUCACACGGUUUUGAAAGAUUCCAGUUGCUACAUCUCCACCAGAGCCUUGUGUGGCAGUAGACUAGAAUCACGUGAAGUACGUAUAUAAUUUUCACAACUUUAAUUCUGUAAGUGCGGCAAAGGGAAGAAAAGAAGAAUUAAAAUAAUGUUAGAAGACAAAACCAAUUAUCAUCCUAGGAUGUGCUUCAUCGUGUUCCUCAAUUAUCUCCAUCCUGCGAUUGUUUAUUGUGUCUGAACCCCGUAUUCAGAUUGGAGAAACCCAUUUAGGUGUACUUUAUAGAUGUUUUCAGAAGUUUUCUAAGGCAAUUUUGACUCUACUUGAUUGUAAUCUUAGUGGCUGACUUGACCAUGUGCAACUCCACUAAACUGCCAGCCCAACGCUGGAUACAAACAGGGACAGAACAUCCCAACAAGGCACCUGAGAAGGAGGUAGCCUUCUAUGUUCCAGGAACAAAGAAAGUGCUCAAUAAAUGUUUACUGAAUGGAUGGAUGAAUAGACAAGUGAAUAAACAGCCAAAAAAACACGCACAAAAUGGUUCGGUCCUAGUCACAUUCCCAGAUUCUCUUAUGGCACCAACAGCAUAAGGGCCAGUGAUUUCUCAGGCCAAAGAAUCCCUUGCAAGGAGAACCCCCCAGGCAAAGUUCUUCAAGAUUAUCAAUUUCCCUUUUAGAAUGCUCAUCAGUAAAAUGGAAAUAAUUUCUCCAGGCCAGGUGUGGUGGCUCAUGCCUAUAGUCCCAGCACUUUGGGAGGCCAAAGCAGGCAGAUCACUUUGAGGUCAGGAGUUUGAAACCUGACCUCAAGAUGGUGAAACCCCAUCUCUUCUAAAAAUACAAAAAAAUGAGCUGGGCAUGGUGGCACAUGCCUGUAAUCCCAGCUACUUGGGAAGCUGAGGCACGAGAAUUGCUUGAAUCUACAAGGCAGAGGUUGCAGUGAGCUGAGAUCACGCCAUUGCACUCCUGCCUGGGUGAGAGAGUGAGACCCUGUUUCAAAAAACUAAAACAAAACAAACAAAAAAAAAAAAAAAAAGAAAGAAAGAAUUUAUCCUUCAAUCUCCAACCCAUCCCCCAAUUCCAGCCUAGUGUUCUCAUCCUACCUUUCAAAUCUCUCUUUUUACCAUCCCUUCCGUUCAGUACUUACUUGUCCUGUGUCUCUUUUUAUCAGGGCUUCCCAUGCUACAGUGGAUUGAACAGUGCCCCUGGACCCUGAC
rnacentral:lncRNA from 1 species